rnacentral:lncRNA from 1 species
CUCUGUCAAAAAAUCCUCCUUCUGAACUGCAUUGAGGUUAGCUUCUAUAGAGUUUUAGAAUUUGUUAGAGAUGAUAGUGAAAUUUAGAUCAAAUUAUAAGUUAGUUAGAAAUUCCACUUAAAUUGCAACGAAAAUCCACUUGAAAUUACAUUGGAAUUAUAAGUUAGUUGGUAAUUAGUUUUAGGUUAGUUAUCAAAUGAACAAUUGUUCUCGAGUUAGUUAUAACAGCUGGAAAAUGUAGUUGGAGAUUCAAUCACAGUUAGUUAAUUAGAAAUUAUAAUGGAAUUCGAAUUGAAAUGAAAUGCAAGUGGAUUUUGUUAAUUUCUAUUAGUUGCUUUGUUAAUGUGAAAUUAUUGUUAGUUAACUUUGAAUGAAAAGCUAGUUAGAUUGAAUCCGGUUAGUUGCUUAUAUUAUUAGGACUGUCAAAUUUAGUUAUUGUUGAAAUCCAAUUUCCAGUUAGUUAAGAGUGUUAAUGGAGUUAAUUAGUUAGCUAUGUUAUUAAAAUGAUUAGUGUUAGUUUGUUUUUGGAUGACACUACUAAAAAGGAAAUUUGUUUUUGGCCAUCUUCAGCAACAUAUUCAUCUUCAUGGUUCUUCAGUUGUCUACUGGCUUCAGCAAAGGUGGAUGAGUUUAUAUAAUACUCGGAACUUUGAUGGGCAUCAAUAACAGAGGAUACAUGAACUGUUGAUUGACUCUCGAUAGAAGGCCACUCAUAUUUCUGUGGAACAUUGUGGUUAUUAACAUAGCUUUGGUCAUUAUUGGUCUCCAUAACAUUCAAGUUAUGAUGUGGGGUUGCUAAUAAGGCAUAGAACUUUUAAGUUGUAAAAACAUAGUUUUUAAUAAAACUUUGUUUUGUAAUAGAACUCUUAAUUUGUGCUAAACUUGAUUUGGGUUAAAA